ACGAAGGGGGCUAGCGUUGCUCGGAAUGACUGGGCGUAAAGGGCGCGUAGGCGGUCACGAUAGUCAGAUGUGAAAUUCCUGGGCUUAACCUGGGGGCUGCAUUUGAUACUGUGUGGCUUGAGUAUGGAAGAGGGUCGUGGAAUUCCCAGUGUAGAGGUGAAAUUCGUAGAUAUUGGGAAGAACACCGGUGGCGAAGGCGGCGACCUGGUCCAUAACUGACGCUGAGGCGCGAAAGCGUGGGGAGCAAACAGGAUUAGAUACCCUGGUAGUCCACGCUGUAAACGAUGUGUGCUGGAUGUUGGGUGACCUAGUCACUCAGUGUCGUAGCUAACGCGAUAAGCACACCGCCUGGGGAGUACGGCCGCAAGGUUG
rnacentral:rRNA from 1 species